rnacentral:rRNA from 1 species
AUACGAAGGGUGCAAGCGUUGUUCGGAUUUACUGGGCGUAAAGCGUCCGUAGGUGGUUUGUUAAGUCAGGGGUGAAAUCCCAGGGCCCAACCCUGGAACUGCCUUUGAUACUGGCAAACUGGAGCGUGAUAGAGGAAGAUGGAAUAUCUGGUGUAGGGGUGAAAUCCGUAGAUAUCAGAUGGAACACCAAUGGCGAAGGCAGUCUUCUGGAUCAUUGCUGACACUGAGGGACGAAAGCGUGGGUAGCAAACAGAAUUAGAUACUCUGGUAGUCCACGCCCUAAACGAUGCAUGCUUGUUGUUAGGCUCCUUCGGGGGUUUAGUGACGAAGCUAACGCGUUAAGCAUGCCGCCUGGGGAGUACGAUCGCAAGAUUAAA